CUCGGUUCGUCUUUCUCCUCUUCGAUUUCAUCGACGCUCCGCGUUCGAUUCUGUCGAAAUCUCCAAAGCUUGAUGAUAUUCGAUCCAUUUUCUCGUCGUCGAUUCUGACUUUCUCAUGUUCAAUUUCGUCGGUAUCCCAUCGUCGGGUCUCUCUCGGCCUCGUCGAUUCUGUGAAAAUCUCCAACAGAGAAGACGUUUGAUUCGUUUCUUUCUUCGUUGAAGUUCUCCUCCAGAAUCGUCCAUGCAAUCCCCAUAAAGGUUCGGUUUCUUUUAUAUUUUUGUUCCCGUGAAUUGAAUUCCUUCGAUUAUUAUCCAAAAUUUUGUUUCGAUGAUGAGAUUUGACUCUGUAUAUCUCAGAUCGAUGGGGGCAGUCGUGGUUUGAAGUCGCGACGAACGGACUAUGGAGACGAUGAUGAACAGAGCUACAGAGGCAAGUCAUCAUCGUAGGUUGUCAGGUGGGAGAAGUAUCUUCCGACAACUGUGGUUUCGGUUUUGGUUGUCGAAUCCGAUGAUUAAACUUGCCAAAUCAUCACUGGCCAUCUGCAAAAGUGCACUUACAAAGUUGUAGCAGUUUCGGAUGGUUCAGCGGCGUGGGAGACAGUAAAGGAGAAGACACAUAACAUUGAAGAAGACAAAGGUCUUGCAGGGAGCAGCAAGAUACGGUUAAAACUCCAUCAAAGCGGAGCAAACACGUCAAACCAUCUCUCUUUAAAUUCAGAGGUUAGUAGACAAUCCAUUAAUGCUUGUUAGACAUUGUUUAGGAUUGAAUUAAAUGGACUUUAGGAUCAUGUACUUGGUUAUGUUAUAAUUAGGUAGAUUAAUCAUUGACUUUCUUGGUUGGUUUAGUUUUAGGUAGAUACAUUGAUGGCCAUUAACACGUAACACCUACUAAACUCUCAUUAGUUUGCUUUAAAAAGCGACCAACUCUCCCUUUCUCAUUUCAUAUCUCUUCUCUUUUGAUAUUUCCUUUCACAAAACAGAAGAAGCUCUCUUUCUCCUUUGUUAAUUCCUUCUCCUUCGUUAAUUCCUUCCUCAUUUCAUAUCUCUUCUCUUUUGAUAUGGAUCCAUUUAGUGAACUUUGUAGCUUUCAAACACUCUUAAACAGUCAACAACCAAACCCCUCCUUCUCUUUUGUUAGUCGUGAACCUAGUAUUGAAGUCUUUGCCUCUGAUGCGUCUGUCUUUGGUACUGGAUGGCCUGAUGGUGCAAACGAAGAGUGCCACAUCGUGUCUGACCGUAAAAAAAGGUGGAAAUGGUCACCAACUGAAGACAAGGUGCUCAUCAGUGCUUGGUUGAACACCUCCAAAGAUCCUGUCGUGGGAAAUGAGCAGAAAGCAAUUGCGUUUUGGAAACGAAUUGCUGCUUAUUUUGGUUCAAGUCCAUAGCUUGCUGGUUUGCAAAAGAGAGAGCCAUCUCACUGUAAACAAAGGUGGGGGAAGAUCAAUGAGGGCGUGUGCAAGUUUGUAGGCUGCAACGAAACAAAAAUCCAGUGGCCAGAGUGAGAAUGAUGUUUUAAAGAUGGCCCCUGAAAUAUUCUUCAAUGAUUACAAGAGCAAGUUCACACUUGAGCAUGCAUGGUUGGAGCUUAGGCAUGAUCAGAAAUGGUGUGGAGGUCUGCCGAGUAAAUAGAAUGUGAACUCUAAGAGAAGAAAGCUUGAUGACCAUUCAACACAGUCAUCAACGUCAGUGCCAUGUAGCCUUGGAGAAGAUGAAUCAAUGGCUCGGCCUAUUGGUGUCAAAGCUGCAAAAGGCAAAGGUAAACAGGCUGUGAGCAAGGCUAAGACUUCCAAAGCAGAAGGGAAGGCGUGUGUGGACUUUCAGAACCUGUGGGAGAUAAUGCAAAAGGACUAUGUAUUGAAAAAGAAGCUUAACAAGCACAAAUUGCUUGACAGCCUAAUUGCCAAGACAUAGCCAUUAACUGAACUAGAGAUUGCUUUGAAAAACAAGCUUAUUAAUGAUAUGUUGGCAAGUUAAUUUGAGUUUAUGGAUCUUAACCUUGUCUUAUUAUGUGUCUGAGUUUGAGUUAAUGCUUUUGUAUGAUAGGCAAGUUAGUUUGUUUCUCUGUAUUACGAGUUUGUAUGCAUUUGCUUUUGUUGUCUUCUUAUGUAUCUCGAGUCUGUAUAAUGACUUGUUUGAAUGUAUAAUAUUUCCACAGAUUGAUAAAUUAAUUCUUGCAAGGCUUUGCAGUCACAGAUAACUAUAUUAGCUGGUUACGUUUCUUACUCAAUGUUUGGUGUGUUUUGUUAACGUUUUAUGUUUGGCUAAUUGCAGCAGCACAGUAGAAGACAAGACUUUUUAAAACCGCGGAAUAAGCUUGAAUCUAGUUGACUCUGUGGAAACAGAGAUUGAGGUGAAGUGUUGGCCGAGUCUCUUAUGGCCAAUAUUUCCUAUCUUUAGUCUUCCUCUCUGUUCUCUAUGCAUUUUACUUGUUUCGUUGAUCAGACAAGCUCGGUUCGAACUAGUUUUGGCUUUGUAUUCUACGUAGUAACUGAUGGUUAGGAUUGUGAUCAUUCGGUUAGGAUUGUAAUUGAUGCAUAAGUUUGUAAUUGAAGCUUUUACGUGUGUAUAGUAACUGAUGCUUUUGCAGGACAAGAAGACAACUUGUGACAACAAUAAAGUCAGUAGCAUGUGACACAAACAAACACCAAAAGAAAAAGAAGAAGUCAGUAGCAUGUGACACAAACAAACACCAAAAGAAAAUAAAGCAGCCGUUGCAUGUGACGCCCAAGUGCCAUACGUUUCUUAUUUUUUCCUUUAAUAUGACUUGAUGUUAUCAAAAACAUAUUGUGCCUUCCAAGUGUAAUUGAUAGUCCGAGUGUAAAUCAUAUUGUCCUACUUUAUAAUGACUUGAUGUUACCAUUUCUCUCUUACCAUUUUCCAAUCAAAGAGUUGAGUUACUUUGUCUCUCUUACCAUUUCUCUCUUACCAUUUCUCUUCAAAAUGACUUCUUCUUCUUCUUCUCAUAAUCUUGAAGAUAUGAUGGAUGAAACAUUUGAUCAACUUUUCGAUCAACAAUUCGAACAACUUUAUGUUCAAGGUCAAGAAGCAUCAAGGUCAAAAAAAAGAGCCUACAUUGAAAGACAACGAGAACAAGGACACGAGCAGUUAUGGAACGGUUAGUUUAGUGAAGAUGCAACAUAUCCUUCUCACAUGUUUCGACGCCGUUUUAGAAUGAACAAGCUCUUGUUCAUGCGUAUUGUUGAUCGACUCUCCGCUGAAAUCCCAUACUUUCAACAAAGAAGAGAUGUUACGCGAAGGUUCAGUCACUUUCCAUUACAAAAGGCAACGGAAACAAUUCGUAAGAUGGCAUAUGGUUGCCCAGCUGAUGCGGUCGACGAAUACCUCCGACUUGGUGAGACCACCGCGCUUUUAUGCUUGGAACAUUUUGUUCAAGAAAUCAUAAAUUUAUUUGGAGAUGAGUAUCUAAGAAGACCCACGCCAGAAGAUCUUCAACGACUACUCGAUAUUGGAGAGAUACGCGGAUUUCUCGGGAUGAUAGGAAGCAUCGACUGUAUGCAUUGGGAGUGGAAGAAUUUUCCGACCGCAUGGAAAGGUCAAUAUACACCUGGAUCAGGCAAAGCCAACCAUUGUUUUAGAGGCUGUAGCUUCACAAGAUCUCUGGAUAUGGCAUGCGUUUUUCGGACCUCCAGGUCCGAAAGCAUCUUUAUUCGCUACACAUCAAGAAGCUGUACGUAAAGAUGUCGAGCGUGCUUUUGGGGUCUUGCAAGCUCGAUUUGCCAUAGUAAAAAAUCCAGCUCUUUUGUGGGAUAAAAUAAAAAUUGAAAAGAGAAUGAGAGCAUGUAUCAUUCUACAUAAUAUGAUCGUAGAAGACGAACGAGAUGGGUACACUCAGUUUGAUGUAUCAGUUUUCGCACAACCGGAAUCAAACCGAAGUUCACAAGUGGAUUUCACGUAUUCUACAGAUAUGCAUUCAAAUCUCGACAAUAUGAUGAGCAUUCAGAAUCGAGUUCGUGAUAAUACAAUAUAUCAAUAAUUGAAAGCUGAUUUGGUUGAACAUAUAUGGCAAAAUUUUGGAACAAAUCAAGAUUUCAACUAAUCGGCUUUUUCUCGUUUACGCUUUGUAUUUGUAUUUUUAAUAUGCUUUUAUGUCAUUUUUAUUAAGUGAUUUUAAUGUAUGCUUUUAUUUUAAAUCAUUCUACUUAAAAAAAAUUAUUUAAGAACCCCUUUGGAGGAGGAAAACAUAAUUUCCACAAACAAUGGUUCUUAACUACUCAAAUCACUUUAUUAACUAUUAAUUUACUUCUAAGAGCCCAUUAGAACUUCUUAACUACUCAAAUCACUUUAUUAACUAUUAAUUUACUCCUAAGAGCCCAUUAAAGGUUCUAAUGGAUGGACAUGCUCUCUGGUUAUCCUAAAGCCCUUUUAGAGUCUCUUAGUAUUUGUUUAAUAUUAUUAAGUAGUAAAUGUGAGGUUAAGAGACAUAAUCAAGAGACUCGAAAAUUUUGCGUCUCCGAUGCAAGUCUCUUAUUGAGGGGUUCUUAAAAAAAAAUUAUUUUUUUAAAGAUAAAAAGCAUUCCGACCACUACCACACAAGUUGAUCAAAUCCAUAAGAACAAAGUACAACACAUCCAGAGACAUCAAAAAGAGUAUAUUAUUUAAACCAUAACCACAACGUAACGAGUAUAUUAUUAAGCAUACAUGUGAACUAACAUUCAAAUGAGAAGUUUGGCGCUUUCCUAACUAAAGAACCUGUGGAAGUGAAACUAGGCCUUCAACUACAAUGUCAAAAAUGAUAUUCCAUGCUCCAUGUCACUACCAUAAACACAAGAACAACAUCAUCCACACACAAAAAGAAACCAGCUCCAAGAAGACAUGGAAGAAAAUAAUUAAAACUUACCUGCUGCUUUGUGGAGUGUAAGUGUGUCUUUGUCCCUCUGUUGAGAAACCUCAAGACGCAUUGGACGACCGAGCAAAGGUCUACCGUGAAAUUC